AUUGAACGCUGGCGGCAGGCCUAACACAUGCAAGUCGAGCGGAUGAAGGGAGCUUGCUCCUGGAUUCAGCGGCGGACGGGUGAGUAAUGCCUAGGAAUCUGCCUGGUAGUGGGGGAUAACGUCCGGAAACGGGCGCUAAUACCUCAUACGUCCUGAGGGAGAAAGUGGGGGAUCUUCGGACCUCACGCUAUCAGAUGAGCCUAGGUCGGAUUAGCUAGUUGGUGGGGUAAAGGCCUACCAAGGCGACGAUCCGUAACUGGUCUGAGAGGAUGAUCAGGCACACUGGAACUGAGACAAGGUCCAGACUCCUACGGGAGGCAGCAGUGGGGAAUAUUGGACAAUGGGCGAAAGCCUGAUCCAGCCAUGCCGCGUGUGUGAAGAAGGUCUUCGGAUUGUAAAGCACUUUAAGUUGGGAGGAAGGGCAGUAAGUUAAUACCUUGCUGUUUUGACGUUACCAACAGAAUAAGCACCGGCUAACUUCGUG
rnacentral:rRNA from 1 species